CGGCCCACCAAGGCAACGAUCAGUAGGGGUUCUGAGAGGAAGGUCCCCCACAUUGGAACUGAGACACGGUCCAAACUCCUACGGGAGGCAGCAGUGAGGAAUAUUGGUCAAUGGGCGAGAGCCUGAACAGCCAAGUAGCGUGCAGGAAGACGGCCCUAUGGGUUGUAAACUGCUUUUAUAAGGGAAUAAAGUGAGUCUCGUGAGACUUUUUGCAUGUACCUUAUGAAUAAGGACCGGCUAAUUCCGUGCCAGCAGCCGCGGUAAUACGGAAGGUCCGGGCGUUAUCCGGAUUUAUUGGGUUUAAAGGGAGCGUAGGCCGGAGAUUAAGCGUGUUGUGAAAUGUAGACGCUCAACGUCUGCACUGCAGCGCGAACUGGUUUCCUUGAGUACGCACAAAGUGGGCGGAAUUCGUGGUGUAGCGGUGAAAUGCUUAGAUAUCACGAAGAACUCCGAUUGCGAAGGCAGCUCACUGGAGCGCAACUGACGCUGAAGCUCGAAAGUGCGGGUAUCGAACAGGAUUAGAUACCCUGGUAGUCCGCACGGUAAACGAUGGAUGCCCGCUGUUGGUCUGAACAGGUCAGCGGCCAAGCGAAAGCAUUAAGCAUCCCACCUGGGGAGUACGCCGGCAACGGUGAAACUCAAAGGAAUUGACGGGGGCCCGCACAAGCGGAGGAACAUGUGGUUUAAUUCGAUGAUACGCGAGGAACCUUACCCGGGCUUGAAUUGCAGAGGAAGGAUUUGGAGACAAUGACGCCCUUCGGGGUCUCUGUGAAGGUGCUGCAUGGUUGUCGUCAGCUCGUGCCGUGAGGUGUCGGCUUAAGUGCCAUAACGAGCGCAACCCCUCUCCUUAGUUGCCAUCAGGUUAAGCUGGGCACUCUGGGGACACUGCCACCGUAAGGUGUGAGGAAGGUGGGGAUGACGUCAAAUCAGCACGGCCCUUACGUCCGGGGCUACACACGUGUUACAAUGGCAGGUACAGAGAGACGGUUGUGCGUAAGUACGAUCAAAUCCUUAAAGCCUGUCUCAGUUCGGACUGGGGUCUGCAACCCGACCCCACGAAGCUGGAUUCGCUAGUAAUCGCGCAUCAGCCAUGGCGCGGUGAAUACGUUCCCGGGCCUUGUACACACCGCCCGUCAAGCCAUGAAAGCCGGGGGCGCCUAAAGUCCGUGACCGUAAGGAGCGGCCUAGGGCGAAACUGGUAAUUGGGGCUAAGUCGAAACAAGGUA
rnacentral:rRNA from 1 species